rnacentral:rRNA from 1 species
GACGUAGGGCGCGAGCGUUGUCCGGAUUUAUUGGGCGUAAAGAGCUCGUAGGCGGCUUGUUGCGUCGACCGUGAAAACCCGGGGCUCAACUUCGGGCUUGCGGUCGAUACGGGCGGGCUAGAGUUCGGUAGGGGAGACUGGAAUUCCUGGUGUAGCGGUGAAAUGCGCAGAUAUCAGGAGGAACACCGGUGGCGAAGGCGGGUCUCUGGGCAACAACGUGACGCUGAGGAGCGAAAGCGUGGGGAGCGAACAGGA